GACGAACGCUGGCGGCGUGCUUAACACAUGCAAGUCGAACGGUAAGGCCCUUCGGGGUACACGAGUGGCGAACGGGUGAGUAACACGUGGGUGAUCUGCCCUGCACUUCGGGAUAAGCCUGGGAAACUGGGUCUAAUACCGGAUAGGACCACUGCCUGCAUGGGUGGUGGUGGAAAGCUUUUGCGGUGUGGGAUGGGCCCGCGGCCUAUCAGCUUGUUGGUGGGGUGAUGGCCUACCAAGGCGACGACGGGUAGCCGGCCUGAGAGGGUGACCGGCCACACUGGGACUGAGAUAUGGCCCAGACUCCUGCGGGAGGCAGCAGUGGGGAAUAUUGCACAAUGGGCGCAAGCCUGAUGCAGCGACGCCGCGUGAGGGAUGACGGCCUUCGGGUUGUAAACCUCUUUCAGCACCGACGAAGCGCAAGUGACGGUAGGUGCAGAAGAAGGACCGGCCAACUACGUGCCAGCAGCCGCCGUAA
rnacentral:rRNA from 1 species